rnacentral:lncRNA from 1 species
AUGAGCCAACCCACAGAAGGAUCCAGCGGGGAGGUUAUAUCUUGGGAGUACCUGCUCCAGUUUCUCGCCGCGUACCACCGGCCAGCUCCUCUUCCUCCGGCGUCGCAUCGCCGCGGACGCCGCCGCAGAACCCGGGCCUCAGCAAUCCUCUCCACCCUCCCGGAGCCAGAUGGAGAGUUGGACGGGGAGGUGCAGAUGGACCACUCCUGCUAUGUGGGCACCAGACUGGCUGUGUGCUCCCCCGGAGUUGGCCCAUGGCGUUGGGAAGGAUGCCGGGCUCCACCGUCACCCCUUGUCCCAGGACGGAGCCGCGAGCUCGCCGCUGCCCCAGCUUGGCCCGCCAGCUUGGACCCGCCCCCAAUCAGAUCUGCGGUCCCACCUCCGGUCCAGUCAGCGCCUCUGUCAUCUGCAGGUGAAGGGACCACGCCUACAGCCCAGCAGACAAAGCUCGCCGGCCUCCAGGCGGAGCUUGGCCGGAUCCGUCAGCUCGUCAGCCUCCAGGAGUUCCAGUUGCACACUCUAUCCUCCCCGAAUCACCAGGAGAAGGUUUCGGCCCAGUCAGCAGCUCCCUCGUCUCCAGGCCAAAGGAUCGAGCCUGCAGUCCACCCAGCAGAGCUUGUCGGUCUCCAAGCUGAGCUGGCCCAACUCCAUCAGAGCCUCAGUCUCCAGGAGCUCCAGCUGGACAAUCUAUCCUCCCUGCUCUCCCAGUUACCGGCGCCACCAGUUCAGUCAGCUCCAGUUCCAGCGGUGACCCAAGAGGCUCUUCCCCCAGGCCGGCCUGUCCAGAUGUCAGAGCCCAGUCCGGCGGCUCCAGUCAAGGAAGCGGUCCCGUCUACAGCAGCUCCUCCUCCACUCCCGAAGCCGGCGGUCCAGAAGCCGGCAGUUCAGAAGCUGGUGGUCCAGAAGCCAACGGUCCAGAAGUCGACGCCCCCGGACCAGAAGUCGACGCCCCGGACCAGAAGUCGACGGAGGUCGAUGCCCCCAGCCCUGAGGUCGAUGCCCCUUCGUGUCCAGAAGUCGAUGCCCCUUCGUGUCCAGAAGUCGACACCUCCUCGUGUCCAGAAGUCGACGCCUCCUGGUGUUCAGAAGUCGACGCCUCCUGGUGUUCAGAAGUCGACGCCUCCUAGUGUUCAGAAGUCGACGCCUCCUAGUGUUCAGAAGUCAACGCCUCCUAGUGUUCAGAAGUCAACGCCUCCUAGUGUUCAGAAG